AACUCCUGAGACUCAGACCUUUGGUUUGGAGCAUGUUGAGAAAUGCUUUAAUGGCGACUACAAUGGCAUUUGAGAUUUUGAGAAGCUUGAGAAGUCAUUAGAAUAUAUUCAACUAUGUCUACGUUUCAACAGGGGAGGUAGUGUGGGGAUAGUGGCCAGGGGUGUGGACUUGAAGUCAGGAAAACCCAUGGGCCAAUACUGCUCCCAAUGCUUGUUCCCUGUGUGACUCUGGGCAAGUCACCACCUCUUGGGGGCCCAGGCAAGUCUCUGAAUUACUGAUCUGGGCCAAGGAGGGAACUUCUUUCCUGACAGUUAGGUACAGUGGCAAAAUCACAGACUGGGACCAGAUAAAUUUACUAGGUGUUAUACAGUAGGAGCAGAGCUGCCUGAAGGAAAGGUUUUUGGAGGUGAGAAGCUCAUGGUUAGUAGAAGUAUUCCUCCGUCAAAAUUUAAAUGUGGGAGGCACAGUUAUUUAGCCACACUGACCUCUCAGUUAUCCAUAAGUCAUGAGGGGAGAUAACUGAGCAUCAUAGAAUCAUAGAUCCAGAAAGUGGAGGCUCUCAGAGAUCACUUGGGAAAAUCCCUAAUUUUGCAGAGGAGGAAACUGAGGCCAAUAGAAGUUAUUAAUUGUCCAAGGUCACAUAAGUAGUAAGCAUCAAAUGUAAGAACUGACUCAGGUCUUUUUUAUUCCAAAGCCAGUGAAUGCUCUUUUGAGUAUAAUAAGUGGCUGGACUAUCUCCCAGGCUAAAUCAAGGCAGGCAUGACCCAAUGGUUACUGCCCUGAGUUUCAUUCUUUCUUUACAGGGCUGUUAACUUCUCUGGAAACAAACUGCUAUAAAGUCCCGACACAUCAAGAGUCAACCAAAUCUCUCCCAGGACUAAGCUACUCCUCCUCAUCAGACAUUCUUGCAUAGUUUAACUAGGGGCUACUAGGGCGCCACUGAGUAAAUCAUUGUGUUAGUUAAUUGUUCUCCCUGGGGCUUCCACCAUGAAUGACCUCCAGCUGGUCAGAAAUCAAUUAGACUAGGAUGACAAUGCAGAGUCUGCUGGAUUCACCUAGCACCUGCCAGCUUAACGGCAUGAGACACAGAGGACCAACGUGAACAGUUCCUAAUGUCUUAUGGGGAUAACUUACAGCCAAUUCAGCCUCAUUCUGGAGUAUCUGGGUCCCAAGAAAGCAAAGAACUUCAGUCUUAGCUGAGGAUCUCAUUCAUCAAUGAAAGGGGAUGUUCUCACCGGCUCCAAACAGCUGACAUCAUAUGGCACUUUAUAUGAGCAUACAGAACCAGAAGAACUGAAAUGACAUAUCCAAGGUCACAAGAGGAAAAUGGUGCCAAGGAUGGAAGCAUCUAACCCAAGUUCACAAAGGAUGGCCUUAGAAAGGAUGGCUUCAUUGCAAAGCGGAUGGCCAGAGGGCUAAGGAUGAGGAACAAUGACUCAAAGAGAGACCUUUCUUCUAUGGACAAGGCUGCAGGAAAGGCUUACAGAGUUGAGAGUUAUAGGGGAAUGUGAGAAGGGACUGCAAUAACUCAGGGAACACUAGAAAAAGGUUUAGAACAAAGGGAAGACUUCAUGGAAAACCAUCCUUUUCCUAACCAUCACAAAGAGUCUACGUUUGGCAUGGUUGGAUAGAAAAGGGCACUGGAGUCAAAAUCUUAGGACAUGGAGCUUAAAUCCCAAUGCUAUAGGCUCUCUGACCUUGGUUGAAUCCCUUACCCUUACCUAGCUUCCCAUAUCUCUCUACCCAGCCUGGCCUUUGUAAUCAGUCAUUCUAAGUCAACACUCCCUAGUAAGCUAGAAAUCUUAGAUUCUGUUUGCCUCUGACAUUCUCCACUUUCUUCAAAUGAAAUAAUGAGUAGACCAGAUUGGGAUAGUCUCAUCCAGCUCUAGGUUUUUGUCAAGAUUCAAGCUUUUUCUAGUCAAAUGAUGAGAUGCAGAACAGUGUAGGAAUAGGGAGGAAGAUGGAAAGACCUGAGGUCAAGUCCUGUCUUGGUCACACACUAGCGUGGGAUUCUAGCAAGGGACAACCUUUCAGAUCUCUGAGCAACUGUCUACAAUUAGCAACAGAGGAGGUGGCUGACCUAGACUGGAAGAGAGACAGUCCUCAUCUGUCAGUUCCUCAUAUCAAUGAAAUCACAGCUCUAAUCCCUAAUUCCUAGGGUAAUUCUCCAUUUUGACUUUGGCCAUUCAUCCCCUAGACUACGGAUGGAGAACCUUUUAGAGACCAAAUUGUGACCCUCAUGAUGCAUAUGAGCCUCCCCCGCCCCCUUGCCCUUAUCCCAGAGAGGGGAGGGAGGAAGUGCUCCCAAUGGGUUCCUGGGCAGAGGGGCAGGUGAUUUGAGAAAUAUCCUCAGAGGAGUGUGGAAAGGGGGAAGGGAGCAGGCUUCUCUGACAUGCAAGCCAUAGGUUUGCCAAUAUGGCCCUAGACUCUUUUAAACCAUUUUUCAAUGGGGAGAUUUAGGGUGAAGUCGUAAUGAAAUAAAGGAAAAGUCUUAUGAAGAGAGGAAUAAUAUGUCAGGAGAUUGGCUGCUAUUCCAAAGAAGAACUUUGAAGACCUUGGCCUCCCAAUGACUCUUCAUUCAAGUACAGUGACCUUCAUCUCAACUUGCCACCCACAAACAGAGCCAUGCCAAGAACCACACCAUCAGUCAGUAAUGUUUUGCCUCCAGUGAGAUUGACCCCUCAGUUGCCUACAAUAAUGUCCUUCCUCUUCCACCUUUCCACCUCUCCCAUCUGCUCUUUGCCCCCUUUGGGACCUUUGGUUCCUUUACCACUCCCAUUCUCACAGUACUUCACCUUCCUCUCAUUGCUUACCUUGGCUCCCUACCCAGCCUGGCCCCAGAAUUAGUCCUUCUAAGUCUACACUCUAGAAAGCUAGAAUCCUUUCCUUCUGUUUGCCUCUGACAUUCUCUGCUGUCUACCUAGUUUGGAUGAGAAAAAGAAUCUGUUCCCUCCCUCUCAGUUACCUGCUAAACUUUGGUUCCUGAUUCCUCACUAGUACACUAGAUGACUCCCAACCUUGAGUGCCAUUGUUCUCUUCCUCCUCCUCUUGGAUUACCCGAAGUCAUUAGAGAGAGCCAGGAAGUUGUCUUGGAUUGGUUACUCAUUUGUGAACUAUUUAAUGCACAGUGAACCCAAAGUUUUCUCCUAAAGUUUCAAAAGAUCCCAUUCAUUGUUUGCUUGUCAUCCAAAUUAAUUUUUUUAAACCCUGACCUUCUGUCUUAGAAUCAAUACUGUAUGUUGGAUGUAGGCAGAAGAGAGGCAAGGGCUGGCAACAGGGAUUAAGAAACUUGACAGAGUCAUACAGCUAGGAAGUGUCUGAGGCCAGACUUAAACUCAGGACCUCCCACUUCCAGGCCUGGCUCUCUAUCCACUGAGAAUCCUAGUGGCUCUCUAUAUUUUUAUUUUAAAAUUUUAAUCCCUCACCUUCCAAAGGCAAAAGAGCAGCAAGGGCUAGGCAAUGGAGAUUAAGUGAUUUGCACAGGGUCAUAUAGCUAAGAAGAUUCUGAAGCUAGAUUUGAACUCAGAACCUCCUGUCUCUCGAUCCACCGAACUACCAAGCUGCGCCCUCUCUCCAUUAAUUUUUAUUUUAUUUAUUUAUUUAAUUUUUGCUUGUACAAAACCUUUUUAAUUUAAUGUAAUCCAAAUUAUUUAUUUUACAUUUUAUAAUAUUUUCUAACUCUUGCUUGCUCUCAAAAUCUUUCCUUUCUCAUAGAUCUGACAUGUAUACUAUUCUGUGUUCACCUAAUUUACUUACAGUUUCCUUCUUUAUAUUCAAGUCAUUCACCUACUCUGAGUUUGGUGUAGGGUGUGAGAUGUUGAUCUAUACAGAAUCUCUCCCACACUGUUUUCCAAUUUUCCAAGCAGUUUUUGUCCAAUAGUGCAUUUUUGUCCCCAAAGCUGGGCUCUUUUCCCAUUAAUUUUAAAGAGAAUACUUUUCAUGACUACCAUCCACCUUUGUCAUGAGGUGGUGGAAGCCUUCAAAAUUGAACUUGGAUUCAAAUCUUGACUCUGCAACUUGUGGGACCUUGGGUAAAUCACUUCACUACUCUGGGUCUCACUUUCUUCAACUGAAAGGAAGGGUUGACAAUGAUUUCUAAAGCCCCUUCCUACUCUAGGUCCUAUAGAAAAGGAACCAAACAAAAAUACUCAUCUUGAGAUAGUUUUACUCACGUCAUGUGAUAUUCACAUCAUACUAAUGAAUAAAUAGAGAAUGUACCCAUUUCUCGAAUAGUUAUAGAAAAUAGGGGGAGGUGUUAUAUAUACAUAAACAAAAUUGAAAUGAUGUAUUUUAGAAAUGAUCCACGUCACAAAUCAUGGAAUCACAUAAUCAUGGAAGCAUGGGAUAGAACCUUAGUGAUUUAGGAUGCAAACCUUUAAUCCAUACAAUGACUCAUAUAGUUUAGGGUUGGGGUACUUUGGUCCCAAUUUAGCUGGACAAUUUUCUGGCUUUACUUUGUGUAUCAACACAGGCCAGAACACUGAGGGAGACGAACCAGUAAGGGCCACCAGGUAAGGUUUCAUUUGAAUGGGUGGUUGUCAGGGCUCAAGUUCUCUCACUAACGAAAUCAUCUACUAGUCUUACAAAUCAGUUUUGGAUCUAUCGCACUGCACUCAGAGAGGGUCUGACGGAGAGUCCCAGGGUCUGAGUUUAAUUCCUGUUUUUGCCACUUCAUACCUGUUACCCCAACUGUAAAAUGAAGAGAUUGGACUGGAUGACCAAGGCUUGAAUUAGAUGAUCAAUAGGGUCACUUUAAGAUGAAAAUCUUUGGUAAUCUCAAGGAUUUGACUGCAAAUUCCAUUUCAGGGUUCAGUGGUGAUACAUAUUGGGAAGCCCAGAUGCUUUUGGACAAAUACUAAUCCCUUAUGUCUCACGGAUGGGCACAGGUUUGGAUUGCCUCUGAACGGUGUUAUACCGAACGUGGGCAAACUGGGCUUUGUUCCAGGUUGCUGAAAUAUGGAAAAUGAGCCCUUCUCAAAAGCCUGGCAUUCCUGCUAGCCCACACCAACCUCUGGAGCCACUGAGCUUGGGCAGCUAUGUCAGGUUACCUCUCUGUAAUACCCCUUCCUCUUCUGAUCCCACCUUAUUUCCUGACUUCUCCAGGCAUAGCGAGCCCUUUCUCACAGAACAACUGCAACUGAGUUUGAACCACUUACCCCCCACGUGCCUCCCAACCCAAGCUAUUCUUAACCAAAUUUGCCCUAGGAUACAAACAGUCCUACUUGCAGUUUUAGAUAUGUAUAUAUUCUGGUGUUUUUCAUAAACUAUAAUUCAUAAGCAGGAGACCAGGACAAUCUCUAAAUGAGAUUCUGGUCUUGUCUCUGUUCCCCAAACCCUCAAAGAAAACAUACAGCAGAUGUGAGAAUUUCCUUUUAAAAAUGGUAUUGAGGGGGCUGCUAGGUAGCUCAGUGGAUUGAGAGCCAGGCCUAGAGAUGAGAGGUUCAAAUCUGGCCUCAGACACUUCCCAGCUGUGUGACCCUGGGCAAGUCACUUCACCCCCAUUGCCUUAGCCCUUACCACUCUUCUGCCUUGGAACAAACACACAGUAUUGAUUCUAAGAUGGAAGAUAAGGGUUGUUUUUUUUUAAUGGUACUGAGACAAAUUCAAUCACCAAGUAUUUUUUUAGCAUCUUUGCUUAAAACUAAAUAUACACAAUGGACCUCUACAUCUAGUUACUGGCUAGAUCUCUACCUAGCGAUGACACAUCAGAAACAAUCCCCUUACCCAUCUAUUUUAUUUUCCACGGCUAAAAGGAGGAAAGUCCACUAGAAGCAUCUUUCUCCAGGCCUCUCCAGUCCUUAAAAAAAGGGGAGACGUAGUCUCUUUGAUGACAAGACAUCUCUCAAACACAGCCUACCAAUCCUGGCCCAUCGGGGAGCUCAAACAAGCACGGCUUCACUAGAGAUGGUUAGCCAGAGAAAGCUGAUGGAAGAGGAAAGUAGUUCUGUAAUAGCUGCUUUGACCUUCCCGCACUCAAGUUUGGCCCAGAUGGACUCUUUCUGCUACUCUCUUUUCACAUAUGGUCUCUCCUGUGCAAACACGGAGGAAUGCCCUUCAGCUUUCUACAAACAACAGCUCGCCUCUCUCCGCCAACCUCCCUGACCAGGACAGAAGGUAGCAAAGGCAAAGCUAAUCAUUAAGCCUUGGCUUAGCCACUUGGGAGACCCAAAAAGCCUAUUGUUUUUUAUUCAAAUAUUUUUCUAAGUGGAAAAGUGUUCUGCUCAGCUGGUUCAUUGCCUUUCGAAGCUAUGGAUGUCCCCCUCUCCCUCUUCCUACUUUGGAAGGAGGCUUGAAUAGAUGCGGCUUCCUAUGUCACAAGCAUCCCUCUCUAGUCAUUCUCUCCACUUUCCCAUCUCUUGGCCUAUAGAUUUAGAAAAUGUCACCAAUAACACAUCCCUGUAGCUUUCCCUGCCCUCUGUGCUGGUCCCAUGCUCCCUUCCUCCCCGCCGCCAUCACAAAGAAAAGACAAUUUAUUCUCAUUCUAACUCUUUUAUUGGCAUGAGUAAAAUAUCCAGAUCGAGGCAGGCUCUGGAUGCCAGAGAGGACAUUCAUUUCAGGAUCAAAGGUCCCACUGUUGACAAUGAAGAUGAAUAAAGUACCCAUUUAUUUGA